rnacentral:lncRNA from 1 species
ACCAGCUAACCAACCUGCUCUGAAACACUUGGAUCACAUCUGAGGAGGAGCACUGUCUCGAUUAACAAGUGCAGGAUUACAACUACACGGCAAAAAUACCCUCACCUCUUUACCUAAAGCUAGUGGGAAAGGACUGGGAAAGGCAGAGUUGUGAGAAAAACAGUCACAUAUAAUGAAGUCGACUUGGGGCCGCAAGAAUUUUCUGCUUCACUGAGAUGUCUCCUGCUGGAGGAAUUAAUGCUGAUACAUUCAUUACUAUGAAUGAAAAGGGCAUGGACUCAGGUCCAGAGUAACAAGCAUUCAGCAUCCACUCAGUGGAGAUUACCAGCAGCAUCCUUUGAAUUUUUACCCAAGCAGCAGCAAGGGAACAAGAGGAAACACUCGAAGACCAAAGACAGUACCAAGCAGAUGGAAGGAGAGAAUGGCAGACAGGCUACCACCACACCUAAAUGAAGUCUCUUCUUACUGUCUUCAUGCAACUACAGAAACAAAGGCUGGUCUAGAAGUAAACCCAAAUGUAUUUUUUAAAUCAGUUUCAGGGCAUUUUAUAAAAUGCCACUGAACUGGCACCCUUGAAAUAAGAGAACAAUUUCUAUACAAACCAAAUAGCAACAGUAAUACUUCAGUUCUGUGCACACAUACUUCAAAAUAUUCAGAUACAGUGUUC